rnacentral:snRNA from 1 species
AACCAUUUUGAUAACAGAGCGAACUAUUCUUUCGCCUUUUACUAAAGAAUACCGUGUGCGCAUCGCAAAUAGUGGUAUACGCCAAUUUUAUUGAUAGAAAAAUACUUUUGAU